AACCAACGCUGGCGGCGUGCCUCAGACAUGCAAGUCGAACGAUUAAAGCUCUCUUCGGAGAGUGUAUAGAGUGGCGCACGGGUGAGUAACACGUAAGUAAUCUACCUUCGAGUGGGGAAUAACAGUCGGAGACGACUGCUAAUACCGCAUAAUGCAGCGGCAUCGCAAGAUGACAGUUGUUAAAGGAAUUUAUUUCGCUUGAAGAGGAGCUUGCGGCAGAUUAGCUAGUUGGUAAGGUAAUGGCUUACCAAGGCUACGAUCUGUAACCGGUCUAAGAGGACGGUCGGUCACACUGACACUGAAUAACGGGUCAGACUCCUACGGGAGGCAGCAGUCGGGAAUUUUGGGCAAUGGGCGAAAGACCUGACCCAGCAACGCCGCGUGAAGGAUGAAGUAUUUCGGUAUGUAAACUUCGAAAGAAUAGGAAGAAUAAA
rnacentral:rRNA from 1 species